UUCGAAAAAAAUUUCGUAAGU
rnacentral:piRNA from 1 species